CCUACGGGAGGCAGCAGUGAGGAAUAUUGGUCAAUGGCCGGAAGGCUGAACCAGCCAUGCCGCGUGAAUGGCAGGGACCUAGGGGCGUUAAACUUCUUUUGUGCGGGAGCAAGAAUGGUCACGUGUGGCCAGACGAGAGUACCGUACGAAUAAGCAGCGGCCAACUCCGGGCCAGCAGCCGCGGUAAGACGGGGGAUGCAAGCGUUAUCCGGAUUUAGUGGGUUUAAAGGGGGCGGAGGCUGUGAGGUAAGUGAGCGGUGAAAGGCCCCCGCUCCACUGGGUGAAGUGCCAUUGAUACUGCCUUUCUGGCCUGCUGAUGCCGUGGGUGGAAUGUGUGGUGUAGCGG
rnacentral:rRNA from 1 species